CUUGACGAUCAUAGAGCGUUGGAACCACCUGAUCCCUUCCCGAACUCAGAAGUGAAACGACGCAUCGCCGAUGGUAGUGUGGGGUCUCCCCAUGUGAGAGUA
rnacentral:rRNA from 1 species